UCUUACCUCAGUGUCAAAGAUAAAGCCCCACAGUAGUGAAAGUGAUAAGAACAACUUCCAGUUCUGCAGUAACCAUGGCAGCAGUGACAGAAGUUUAGCAUGAAGUAUAUUCCAACCUGUCUGGAGAUUAACAAGUAUUUUAAAGUCAUAGUAAGCCAAAAAGAAGUAGACAGUACUCAUUUGAUGGGGGAAGAAAUGUGUUUAUUUCAAUAUUAUGGAAGGAGCAGCUCAUCCAAGAAAACCAGGUUUCUGAGUUGAAGAGAAAGAUAAUCACCAACCAAACUCGCAAGAGAAAGGGAAUUUCCUAAGGAAGAAUGAUAUCAUUCAUCAGACCGUAAAAUGUUAUGGAGGAAUACCAAAUUAAUAUUAUUCCUGAUUUGAGAAAGCUGUGGCAGACUGUAUGGCUCCAGUUCGGACAUUUCCCAAAAGACAAACUGUAGAGGCUGUAAGGAGAAAGGAAAGUAGGAAAGUCAACGAGGAUUUUAUGCUUGGGAAGAGAAUUUUUGAUGGAGAUGUCAACGUACUGCUGAGCAUCAAUAACUUCUACUCUCUUGCCUGAAUUUGAGACCUCCUGUUCAAAUGGAAGCAUCUCAUCCCACUUCAGAGAGACUUUGUGUUUGAAGCAUGUAAUCAUCACC